rnacentral:rRNA from 1 species
UACGUAGGGGGGCAGCGUUGUCCGGAUUUAUUGGGCGUAAAGAGCUCGUAGGCGGCCGUUCGCGUCGGAUGUGAAAGCUCAGGCUCAACUCUGAGACGCCAUUCGAUACGGGACGGCUAGAGGUAGGUAGGGGAAAGUGGAAUUCCUGGUGUAGCGGUGAAAUGCGCAGAUAUCAGGAGGAACACCGGUGGCGAAGGCGGAUCUCUGGGCCUGUUCUGACGCUGAGGCGCGAAAAG